GAUGAACGCUGGCGGCGUGCUUAACACAUGCAAGUCAAACGAAGCACUUUAUUUGAUUUCCUUCGGGACUGAUUAUUUUGUGACUGAGUGGCGGACGGGUGAGUAACGCGUGGGUAACCUGCCUUGUACAGGGGGAUAACAGUUGGAAACGGCUGCUAAUACCGCAUAAGCGCCCAGCAUCGCAUGAUGCAGUGUGAAAAACUCCGGUGGUAUAAGAUGGACCCGCGUUGGAUUAGCUAGUUGGUGAGGUAACGGCCCACCAAGGCGACGAUCCAUAGCCGACCUGAGAGGGUGACCGGCCACAUUGGGACUGAGACACGGCCCAAACUCCUACGGGAGGCAGCAGUGGGGAAUAUUGCACAAUGGGCGAAAGCCUGAUGCAGCGACGCCGCGUGAGCGAAGAAGUAUUUCGGUAUGUAAAGCUCUAUCAGCAGGGAAGAUAAUGACGGUACCUGACUAAGAAGCACCGGCUAAAUACGUG
rnacentral:rRNA from 1 species